GGACUACUCGGGUUUCUAAUCCCGUUUGCUCCCCUAGCUUUCGCGCCUCAGCGUCAGAAAAGGUCCAGCACGCCGCUUUCGCCACCGGAGUUCCUGUAGAUAUCAACGCAUUUCACCGCUCCACCUACAGUUCCGCAUGCCCCUACCUUCCUCGAGGCCGUCAGUAUCUGAGGCAGUUCCACGGUUGAGCCGCGGGAUUUCACCCCAGACUUGACAGCCCGCCUACGCGCCCUUUAAGCCCAGUGAUUCCGAAUAACGUUCGCACGGUUCGUCUUACCGCGGCUGCUGGCAC
rnacentral:rRNA from 1 species